GACCAAAUUAUUCUCAAAAACCCCCAUUCAAAAUGAAUGCUAAUUCCACAUAUUUAAAAAAAAUACCCAGG
rnacentral:rRNA from 1 species